GCUCCCUGAUGUUAGCGGCGGACGGGUGAGUAACACGUGGGUAACCUGCCUGUAAGACUGGGAUAACUCCGGGAAACCGGGGCUAAUACCGGAUGGUUGUUUGAACCGCAUGGUUCAAACAUAAAAGGUGGCUUCGGCUACCACUUACAGAUGGACCCGCGGCGCAUUAGCUAGUUGGUGAGGUAACGGCUCACCAAGGCAACGAUGCGUAGCCGACCUGAGAGGGUGAUCGGCCACACUGGGACUGAGACACGGCCCAGACUCCUACGGGAGGCAGCAGUAGGGAAUCUUCCGCAAUGGACGAAAGUCUGACGGAGCAACGCCGCGUGAGUGAUGAAGGUUUUCGGAUCGUAAAGCUCUGUUGUUAGGGAAGAACAAGUACCGUUCGAAUAGGGCGGUACCUUGACGGUACCUAACCAGAAAGCCACGGCUAACUACGUGCCAGCAGCCGCGGUAAUACGUAGGUGGCAAGCGUUGUCCGGAAUUAUUGGGCGUAAAGGGCUCGCAGGCGGUUUCUUAAGUCUGAUGUGAAAGCCCCCGGCUCAACCGGGGAGGGUCAUUGGAAACUGGGGAACUUGAGUGCAGAAGAGGAGAGUGGAAUUCCACGUGUAGCGGUGAAAUGCGUAGAGAUGUGGAGGAACACCAGUGGCGAAGGCGACUCUCUGGUCUGUAACUGACGCUGAGGAGCG
rnacentral:rRNA from 1 species